rnacentral:tRNA from 1 species
AUUUUUUUUAAGGAUAUAAAUUAAGUUAGUGAACUUGAAUAAGUUUAU